rnacentral:rRNA from 1 species
ACUCCUACGGGAGGCAGCAGUGGGGAAUAUUGCACAAUGGGCGCAAGCCUGAUGCAGCCAUGCCGCGUGUAUGAAGAAGGCCUUCGGGUUGUAAAGUACUUUCAGCAGUGAGGAAGGCAGGUACGUUAAUAGCGUGCUUGUUUGACGUUAGCUGCAGAAGAAGCACCGGCUAACUCCGUGCCAGCAGCCGCGGUAAUACGGAGGGUGCGAGCGUUAAUCGGAAUUACUGGGCGUAAAGCGCAUGCAGGCGGCCUGUUAAGUCAGAUGUGAAAGCCCGGGGCUUAACCUCGGAAUUGCAUUUGAAACUGGCAGGCUAGAGUCUUGUAGAGGGGGGUAGAAUUUCAGGUGUAGCGGUGAAAUGCGUAGAGAUCUGAAGGAAUCCAAGUGGCGAAGGCGGACCCCCUGGACAAAAGCUGAACGCUCAGAUGCGAAAGCGU